GGUAAAUGAUCCUCAGCUCAUGAAAGUUUUCUGAUUUGCACUUUAGGAGUUGGAGAUAAUGACAGAAGCCAGAGCUGCUGCGGAACG
rnacentral:snoRNA from 1 species